UGGGGAAUAUUGGACAAUGGGCGAAAGCCUGAUCCAGCCAUGCCGCGUGUGUGAAGAAGGUCUUCGGAUUGUAAAGCACUUUAAGUUGGGAGGAAGGGUUGUAGAUUAAUACUCUGCAAUUUUGACGUUACCGACAGAAUAAGCACCGGCUAACUCUGUGCCAGCAGCCGCGGUAAUACAGAGGGUGCAAGCGUUAAUCGGAAUUACUGGGCGUAAAGCGCGCGUAGGUGGUUUGUUAAGUUGGAUGUGAAAUCCCCGGGCUCAACCUGGGAACUGCAUCCAAAACUGGCAAGCUAGAGUAUGGUAGAGGGUGGUGGAAUUUCCUGUGUAGCGGUGAAAUGCGUAGAUAUAGGAAGGAACACCAGUGGCGAAGGCGACCACCUGGACUGAUACUGACACUGAGGUGCGAAAGCGUGGGGAGCAAACAGGAUUAGAUACCCAAGUAUUCCCUGAGCGGGCUGGCAAGGCGCAU
rnacentral:rRNA from 1 species